rnacentral:lncRNA from 1 species
GGCUUCAAUUCUUCAUCUUUAACUCUUCAAGACUCCAUUCGACUUCACGAAACCUACAAACUUAGAAAAAUCCUUAACACACAGUGGCGGAGGCGGAGGGGACGAAGAGGGGUAAACCUGCAGCUGAGAGAGAAAGAGUAGAUGGCAAGGUAAAAUUUUGUUUACAGCUGUAAUUUUAUUAAUUCUUUUUAUAUGUAAAAAGAUAAUAAAGCCCCCAGAGCUUAUGUAAUAGAUAGUAAACAAGUGAGGGUAAAUUGUCUUUUUGAAGGGAUGGGUUGGUGAGUGGUGAAAAAAAAGGGAGGGAAGUUAUAGUGCGCUUGAUAAGGAUAUAUCGCGGCGACAAUUAUCGCCACUAAUACUCUAUUUUUUUACCGGCGACGCACUGUCGCCGCUAUAUUUUUCGUUUCAGUGGCGACUUUUAUAUGUCGCCACCAUUUUCUAUGCAUUG